GACAGCGCUAGGAGCGGCGGAAGGAUGAUUCACCGCAGGUACUGGUGCUUCUUUGUAUCUCGAGCUGUCACUCACUCUCAGUCCUUCCUUGAAGAAGCAGUGAUCGAUGGUGUCUCUGAGCUUGGCUUGCUGGAGAAGAAGAAUCUGGAGUGCCAAUCGUGCUGGGAACCGUGGGUUUUGCGCAGCAUGCUUGCAUCCCUCGAACGACAGCUUCUGGUAAUUCACCACCUUGCAAAGUUCCAUGGUUUCGGACUCCGAGACUGCUGGAUGUGCCUGCUCCAUGCGACAAACGUUCCAUGGUGAGCGAGCUUUUAGUUGCAAAGUUUCUUCUUCUAACGUGAGUUUGCAACAGGAAAGAAGAACACUUACCUGCAGAUACAAAUCCAAAGCUCGGUAGAGCCCGUCGUGCAUGAGCCUGGCCGAGUCCGGCAGUGCUUUGGCCACUGACUUAAACUUGAAAGGCUUAAGCUGUGGAUCCGCUGCGAUCUCCACCAG
rnacentral:lncRNA from 1 species